rnacentral:lncRNA from 1 species
AUUUCUUUACCCAAAAAUUAGAGGACCCAAGACAGCUCAUUUGACAUGGCAGCAUUCCAAUGAGCUGAAAAGUAAUUUUCAGGGACUGUAUCUUUGGUAAGGAUUUGUGCAUCAGUGGGGUAGUGAUUUUAAUGUGUGUGCAGCAUUUUAGUAGCCAACUGAGAUGGCAGUUAAGAUAUAGCAUUGUACAUUAACAUCACUGUUGCACAGGAAGCAGCUGGUCUUCAGAUGAUGGUGCUCACUGCAUUCUGCUUCAUGAGUUUCUUAGUAGCUCUUUUGAUCUCUUACAAGGAAAUCAUUCUCUUGUUAAUAUUUCACUGUUUUCUGCAUCCAGGUCCCAAGGACAGAGAGGAGAGUAGAGCAGGGAGGGAGGCAGAGGAUAAAAGAGCAUAGAAACCAGCUCUUCAAAGAAACAGAACUUUUCUUCAUGUACAACAUUUACAACUUAUCAAAACUUUUAAUGUGUGCUUGAGAAGGAAAUAAUUAAAAUAAAAAUGUACUGAAUUAUUGUAACCAGCUUGGUAGGUAAUAUUUUUUGAACAAAAUGUUGAAUGGAGAGAAAAAUUAAAGAUAAAUAUAAAAUGUCUCCCAGGCUGGCAUGAAAAACCUGAUGUGCCACACACUACUUGGCUUCACUUUCAGAUUUUUACUGCUAUGAAAAAUGAGAGGUUUCUUCCCAUGCUCUGUAGUCCUCGAUUACAGAUUUACUUUCUCAGCAGACAAGUUCCCACUUUGGGAAUAAGUAACUUAAUAAAACAAAUAAAGGUGUUCAUCUUGGCAAAGAGAGCAAAAACACAUCACUUGUUACUUGACUACACUAAUGCAGACUUCAAGACCUGGAUGAGAGAACUUCUUGCUCAAACUGGGCUUCAAUACAUCAUUGGUGUAUUCCCCCUUUCCAACCAGUAUGGGCUUUUUGCUCUUGAAAACCCACGUCUAGCAGAUAGCCAGAAGAAGAUCCAAUGAUCUUCCUUGCUACAAAACUGAAGUUCAUUCAUGAUGAAGGUCUGUAGUUACCUAUUCUUUUUGACAUUCACAAUAAGUACACUUAUAUCUCCAGCCUGAAGAAAAGAAUGACUUUAGGGCCUGUAUUUACCAGAACUGUUUAUGUGUUUACUUCAUUGUUACUACUCCUGUACAGAGAAAGGGUACAGCAAAAAAACACAAAAUGCUGUACACAGGCAAAGGAACUUCUGUAGUAGUGUGCUCCUAGAAGUGAGCCUUUGGGACUGAGACCUCAGUAGAAGAGAUCUUCAACAGAGAUACUUUCUCCUCUUGUCUGACUUUCAGCAGAAAUAACAAAGAACAAAGACCAGUUUUCAAGAAAAUUAAAGUAACGGACAACUUGAAUUUAGAAAGAAAGUUAUCAACUGUGAACACUUCUAAGGAAGAAGAUAGUAGUGUGUACAGACUCAGAAGACAAGAAGAACUGGGAGAGUAUGCUACCCGAGUUUUUGCUGCACAGUAAGUGUCUUAAAGAGAGGUAGCUUAUAAGACUUUGUUAUUGAAUUUCACAGUUUCUUGCAUUUCAUCUCCUAUCUAAUAUCAGAUCUGCAAAUCUAUUUAACAAUUCUUGGUACUCUGGUUUCCAAAAUGGCACAACUCUGACUGCUUUCUUUUCCUUGGAGAUUUCAUUUAUAGUUUUUCCUUUCUUUUGCUCUGUACAUACAACUAGGGAAAAAAAAAAAAAAAAAAAAAAGAGAUGUUCAGUGUUGACUAAAGAAUAAACAAAACCAAAGAGAUGGAAUUCA